GACAGCGGUUCUGUGCGUGCACAUGACCGGUCGUGUUGGUUCAUAGGUCCUCUGCUCCCGAUGAUUAUUUCUACCGCAUAUGGAGAGGGGAGAGCCGUCGAGUGGAUCUCGCGGAAGGGGCCUCCGCCGGCCGCCGGCCCCCGGCCUCCUCCCGGGGCUGCUAGGUCCUGCCGACCACCGGCGACCUGCUCGCUGGUGAGUAUAUGCAGCGGCCCGAAGAGGCACGUGCAGGGGAAGGCUUCCCCGGAUCUCCCAGGACAGCGAUAUCAGGUACAUGGGCAUGAGAUGGGAAUCACAAUUGUUGUGGAGGAAGGGAAGAAUGUCUUGUUAUUUGGCUGUUGCCAUCCAUGUUCUUUUGGGUUUCACAAUGCAAUAAGUGUUCCUCUCCGCAACGAAUAUAUUAGAUCGAGCAUCAUGUCAUGUACACCAUAAGCUUUUGCUGUCUUCAUAGUCGAUGUCUACCAGUUCGAUCAUGCUUCUAUUUAUCAACUCAUUGAAGUAACCCUCUCCUAGCUCAAAUGGGCCAAUUUCUCGUUUACAUGAUACAUAAAAAAUUCAGAUAUCCAUCUCCAUAUGAACUGGUCUCUCUUCAUUUUGUAAUCUUCUGGAUACAUGCUUACUUAUAAUAAAUGAUGUGAAGGUAGAUCAUAGAACAACAACAUAAUCUUUUGACUUCGGCAAGUCAGUGUAGACUAGAGAUAGAACACAACAGGAGCCACACACACCAACUAUAUGGAAAGUAGCAAUGAAAUAGUAAAACAAGCUCCUGACUUGUAGAUUAUGUCAAAGUGAUGGUCUAGAAUCAAGCUUCUUUUACUACUAGUUUUGGUCUACCUUGACAUCUGCUAUAGGAUUAGUUAUUAUAUAUAAGUAUGUUUUCAGAAGAUUAGAAGAUUAAGCAAGGUCAGUUGAUAGUAAAUGGAUAGCUGAAUGUUUUUGUUUAUCAUGAAAAACAAGAGAUUAGCUUAUUUGAGAUCGGAAUAGAGUUACUCAAUGAGACAAUAAAUAGAAACAUGAUUGAACCAACAGACAUCAAUGCUGAUGAAGGCAUGGAAUAAAUCUUAUCGUAUACUCCCUCUGUAAACUAAUAUAAGAGCGUUUAGAACACUACUUUAGUAAUCUAAACGCUCUUAUAUUAGUUUACGGAGGGAGUACAUGAUAUGAUGAUUGAUCCCAUAUGUAUGUUUUUGCCAAGUGAAGAAAACCACUUGUAUGGCAUUGGGUGAAAGCGGUCUAUCCAAAGGCAAGAUUUGAAGAUCAUCCAUCUGAAAGAGCACGACAGACAUAACCACCAUCAGAAGCAGCAACAAUGCCACAAAUUCAAGAACGACCAAGUUUCUGCGGCACCUCCUGCAUUUUUCUCAGGAUGAACUUCCUUCUCCAUUUCAUUCUUUUGUAAGGAAGAGUUUUGUACUUAUGAUGUAUGCCUGGCAGGUUAAUUUUCCGCCAGCUCAAGUUAAUGUAGCCUGGCAUCCCUUACAUUUUCUCCUUAAGAACCAUCAGUUAUUCUGUACUGAUGUCUUGUAUGCUUCCUCUCCUGCAUUCAUCAUUACACUCCUUUGUUUGUUACAGCUUUAUUUGAGACUCACAAACCAAAAAACCACGUUCAGCUUGUAC